rnacentral:lncRNA from 1 species
UGCUAGGAUGGGAGGGAAAGGGUGGAGGAAGGGAAUUUAUAAAAGCUCUACUUUGGUUCGGGGAAAAAAAAAAGGUUUGAAAAUAACGAGAUGCGGAAUAUCCGAGAGGGGCUGCGACUAGGCUCUCUGGGCCUGAGAAUGAAGGCUAUUUCUACUCUCACGCAGGUAAGGAGAAUAGAAAGAGUCCCGAAAAAAGCCGCCUCCGAAACCGACCGACCAACCAGCCCGGACCUUGGGGCGGAUUGGAUUUUAAAGAGGCAGCCAUCUCUUUUCGCCCGUUUGUGGAUAGGGAUGGUUGGUUGGUUUCUGCUGCUGGAAGCUACGUUUUGUCCUCUCGACCUAGAGGAAAAAAUGAAGCCCUAAGGAAGAUGAGAAAUAAGCAUCUUCGCCCUGUGCCGCUGUGAUUCGGGGAGAUGUCUUGUCCUGGACCAAGCCUUUCCAGAAAUUCCCCGACUCGCUGCAUUGCGGUAAGGCAGGAGAGGGGAAGAGGCGGGGGGCGGGAGCAGGGAGGGGGGGCCGGGCGGGAGAGAUGGACACCACCUGGAGGGAAAUACCCCCUCCCAGAAAUAGCCGGUCCUUCCGUGGCUGAUUCUUGCCAGUCUCCGUGGUCAAUCACUGGAUGGGGAGGCGACAGGAAAGACAGGCCAAGAGUCUCAAGCAGUGCCUACCAUCACCUCAAGGACGAGAAUGUAGCCAGCGUGCCCGAGAUAAUGACGUUCAGAAGUGGACUGCAGCGGAUCGUGGGUUGAUCAGGAAAUCUACACCAAGAGUUCCCACCUCCGGAAUUUCUCACCGCAGGAUUGGCAGAGCUGGAGAAUCUGCUGGUUUUUAGAUCAUCAUCCACGCGUUCUCUUUCAGGCUUUCACUUCACGCGGGGAGGUGUUAACCUGCGGACCCAGAAUCUUCCCGGGUUUCCUCUAGACUGCAGUUUUCUUGUGGGCGGGGAUCACGCCAACCAACUCCAAUGUAUUGUACUCUCCUAAGCGCUUAGUACAGUAUUUUGCACACGGUAACCACUCAAUAAAUACUAUUGAUUGAUUUAACAUCGGGUAUGACUGAAAACAAUGCAAGCUGCCUACCUGUCUGCUCAAGUGGUGCCUAAGAACACCAAAUACUUUGGACCUAUCGACUUCCUCCUUAUGCUGAUCGAGAAGUUCCACGAGUUUGUGUCUUGUGAAUAUGACUGCAUUAUCAUCAGUGUUAACUGGAUGGAUUGGACACAUUCUUUUCAGAACCUUUCCCCUUCGGUUCAUAAUCGUAUUAUUACCAGUAUUGGCUGAGUGAACGGGACCCAGUACUGUUAGAAGUUUCCCCCCUCGGCUUCAGCUCUACGUUUGCAACGUAAAAAUUAAACGGGAACUUCGAGUGCCAGAAACCACGAAUGAACUGUGCAUCCAAAGGGGGCGGCGGGGCGGUAAGGAAGAAAAAGAGAGAAAGGGAGAGAGAGAGAGGGAGAGGGAGAGAAAGGGAGGGAGAGAGAGCACAAGCGAACGAAAUGUCCAUUUAAAUCACGCAACGCUAGGGACCAUCUAGUGUUGAUUUAGAAGCAUCACCUCGUUUUGAGCUCAAGUGCCUCAGAAAGGCUGGAAUGCCAGUCACUCACAGUGCCUACAUAGUUUCCA